rnacentral:rRNA from 1 species
GUGGGGAAUAUUGGACAAUGGGCGAAAGCCUGAUCCAGCCAUGCCGCGUGUGUGAAGAAGGUCUUCGGAUUGUAAAGCACUUUAAGUUGGGAGGAAGGGCAGUAAGUUAAUACCUUGCUGUUUUGACGUUACCGACAGAAUAAGCACCGGCUAACUUCGUGCCAGCAGCCGCGGUAAUACGAAGGGUGCAAGCGUUAAUCGGAAUUACUGGGCGUAAAGCGCGCGUAGGUGGUUUUGUAAGUUGGAGGUGAAAUCCCCGGGCUCAACCUGGGAACUGCCUCCAAAACUGCAUGACUAGAGUACGGUAGAGGGUAGUGGAAUUUCCUGUGUAGCGAUGAAAUGCGUAGAUAUAGGAAGGAACACCAGUGGCGAAGGCGACUACCUGGACUGAUACUGACACUGAGGUGCGAAAGCGUGGGGAGCAAACAGGAUUAGAAACCCCGGUAGUCC